rnacentral:rRNA from 1 species
GACGAACGCUGGCGGCGUGCUUAACACAUGCAAGUCGAACGAUGAUGCCCAGCUUGCUGGGUGGAUUAGUGGCGAACGGGUGAGUAACACGUGAGUAACCUGCCCCUGACUCUGGGAUAAGCGUUGGAAACGACGUCUAAUACUGGAUAUGACUGCCGGCCGCAUGGUCUGGUGGUGGAAAGAUUUUUUGGAUGGGGAUGGACUCGCGGCCUAUCAGCUUGUUGGUGAGGUAAUGGCUCACCAAGGCGACGACGGGUAGCCGGCCUGAGAGGGUGACCGGCCACACUGGGACUGAGACACGGCCCAGACUCCUACGGGAGGCAGCAGUGGGGAAUAUUGCACAAUAGGCGAAAGCCUGAUGCAGCAACGCCGCGUGAGGGAUGACGGCCUUCGGGUUGUAAACCUCUUUUAGUAGGGAAGAAGCGAAAGUGACGGUACCUGCAGAAAAAGCACCGGCUAACUACGUGCCAGCCGCCGCUGUAA